GGCGGCUCCACCCCGUCAUGGCGCCUGAGGAGAGCGUGGAAGCCUCCCGCCUGCUGCAGAGUUUUGAGCGCCGCUUCCUGGCGGUGGGUGCGCUGCGCUCCUUCCCCUGGCAGAGACUAAAAGAGAAAUUA